GACGAACGCUGGCGGCGUGCUUAACACAUGCAAGUCGAACGAAGUGGCGAACGGGUGAGUAACGCGUAAUCAACCUGCCCUUCAGAGGGGGACAACAGUUGGAAACGACUGCUAAUCCCGCAUACUGAAGGAGGGGAUUGCGUCUGAUUAGCUAGUUGGAGGGGUACCGGCCCACCAAGGCGAUGACCAGUAGCCGGGCUGAGAGGAUGACCGGCAACAGUGGGACUGAGACACGGCCCAGACUCCUACGGGAGGCAGCAGUGGGGAAUCUUCCGCAAUGGACGAAAGUCUGACGGAGCAACGCCGCGUGAGUGAUGACGGCCUUCGGGUUGUAAAGCUCUGUUAAUCGGGACGCGGUACCGGAAUAGAAAGCCACGGCUAACUACGUGCCAGCCGCCGCGGUAAUUC
rnacentral:rRNA from 1 species